rnacentral:rRNA from 1 species
GACGAACGCUGGCGGCGUGCUUAACACAUGCAAGUCGAACGGAAAGGCCUCUUUCGGGGGGUACUCGAGUGGCGAACGGGUGAGUAACACGUGAGUAACCUGCCCUUGACUUUGGGAUAACUUCAGGAAACGGGGGCUAAUACCGGAUAGGAGCUCCUGCUGCAUGGUGGGGGUUGGAAAGUUUCGGCGGUUGGGGUUGGACUCGCGGCGUAUCAGCUUGUUGGUGGGGGAGUGGCUUACCAAGGCUUUGACGGGUAGCCGGCCUGAGAGGGUGACCGGCCACAUUGGGACUGAGAUACGGCCCAGACUCCUACGGGUGGCAGCAGUGGGGAAUAUUGCACAAUGGGUGGAAGCCUGAUGCAGCAACGCCGUGUGCGGGAUGACGGCCUUCGGGUUGUAAACCGCUUUCGCUCAUGACGAAGCUUUGUGUGACGGUAGUGGGUAAAGAAGCACCGGCUAACUACGUG